AUUGAACGCUGGCAGCAGGCUUAACACAUGCAAGUCGAGCGGGGUGAUGGUGCUUGCACUAUCACUUAGCGGCGGACGGGUGAGUAAUGCUUAGGAAUCUGCCUAUUAGUGGGGGACAACAUCUCGAAAGGGAUGCUAAUACCGCAUACGUCCUACGGGAGAAAGCAGGGGAUCACUUGUGACCUUGCGCUAAUAGAUGAGCCUAAGUCGGAUUAGCUAGUUGGUGGGGUAAAGGCCUACCAAGGCGACGAUCUGUAGCGGGUCUGAGAGGAUGAACCGCCACAAUGGGACUGAGACACGGCCCAGACUCCUACGGGAGGCAGCAGUGGGGAAUAUUGGACAAUGGGGGGAACCCUGAUCCAGCCAUGCCGCGUGUGUGAAGAAGGCCUUAUGGUUGUAAAGCACUUUAAGCGAGGAGGAGGCUCUUUUGGUUAAUACCCAAGAUGAGUGGACGUUACUCGCAGAAUAAGCACCGGCUAACUCUGUGCCAGCAGCCGCCGUAA
rnacentral:rRNA from 1 species